rnacentral:antisense_RNA from 1 species
GUGCGGAUGUGCAAUCUUCACCUGUUUAUUCGGUAGAGGGUGCCAUCUUCAGGUAGCCCUUCACGUUGUACAGAAAACAAUGGAGACUUCUCCUCCUGGGGCAGACAGAGUCUGGCUGGAGUGCAAUAACGCGAUCUCAGCUCACUGCAACCUCUGCCUCCUGGGUUCAAGUGAUUCUCCUGCCUCAGCCUCCCGAGUAGCUGGGACUACAGGUCUAUGUCCUUUCAUAUUCUCCAGUUUAAUCUCGCCUACAACUUUACUCCAGGCUCUAUGCUCCAGCCAUAAUCAAUUUAUGGGAAAACCAUCCUCUCUGGCAAACUUCUACUUAUCCUUCAAGAAGCAAUUCAACUAUCAUUCCUCUGUGAAGCCUAGGCAGUUAAUUACCCUUCCUUUAUAUGCCUAAAUCACUCCUGGGGUAGUGCUGAUUGCACUGUGAACUUGUGAGGCAGGAUACACUGUCUUAUUUACGUUUGUUGUGUUUCCUAACAGAGAACAGAUACUCAAUAUAUGAAUGAAUAAUCUUGUUU